rnacentral:rRNA from 1 species
UACGUAGGGAGCAAGCGUUGUCCGGAAUCAUUGGGCGUAAAGCGCGCGUAGGCGGCCUCAUAAGUCCGUUGUGAAAGUCAAAGGCUCAACCUUUGAAAGCCGAUGGAUACUGUGAGGCUAGAGUCCGGAAGAGGCGAGUGGAAUUCCUGGUGUAGCGGUGGAAUGCGCAGAUAUCAGGAGGAACACCAAUAGCGAAGGCAGCUUGCUGGGACGGUACUGACGCUGAGACGCGAAAGCGUGGGGAGCAAACAGG